UCCUCCUCGGACAGCGCCGGCUCCUGAGUCGGAACCCUGCUGUUUGCUCUGCCCUUUCCGUCCGGGCCACACUUCCCUCUUCGGUUCUCACGGCUCCCGGACCUUCCCACUCCGAGCAGGUGCGUCCACGAGCCGCGCCCCCCUUCCCUGUCCACCUGCCGGAGGCCCCGGGCGCAGCGAGGCGGGCCCUGGAUCCAGAGGAGGCUGAAGGAAGGAGACAGGAGCUUGUCCCUAGGAGACCCCUCCCCAGCGGGGGAGAGGGAGCGGAGGGGUGAUGGUCGUGACAGGAUGGACCGGGCCCUGCUAGUGGGCUCCUUGGUGUCGCCCCUCUCUGCGGCCGGGAAGGCACGUGAUGGACAGAGAUGCCUGCUCCUGGGAAGCACUGUGGAGACUACAGUUCACCAGCAUCUGGAGAGUAAUAAAGUUGUUGAUGAGAGGUGCCGACCGGAGUCCCAGGUUCUGUGUAGCGGCCCCCCACGGACUCCCCAUGGCAUGGGGGGCCCUGGGCACCCGUUCCUGGCCCUUGAGCCUGGAGAGGAGGUGGUGGGAGAUGGGUUUCAUCCAGCCCACCUGGGGGUCCAGCGGCAGGUGUCUCCAGUGCUGUCUUUAGAGGCCAGAACGAGGCCCGAGGGAGGCACUGGCUUAGUGCCAGACCGACCAGGGUUCUAAUCUCAGCCUGUGGCUUCCUGGCGCACGAGUCUCGAGUCUCGGUGUCUACAUCUGUAAACAGCAGUGGUCCCCACGCCCAUUGCUAGAGCCUUCGUUGGAGGAGGCCCCCAAAUACCAGUAUCAGUAAGUCUUGGGGAACCCAUUUUGCCAAGAGAAGAAUCCGAUCUCUUGGUGAGGAUGGGGUAUGAGCUUGGGGGCCAUGGGUCUGGGACCCCGUCAGAGGGGGAGGGACUGGGGGUGGCUCACGGUGGAGUGCAGACCCUGGCCUGCCUCAUCAGCUCCCCCGCCCCCCGCCUUGUCCUCGGCUCAGCACAGUCCUGGGGUUCAAACCCUGGUGUUUUCUCUUGAAGAUGCCGUUGCGCCUGACCGGUCUAGGCCCCGGCCGCAAGGGAGUCUGGGAGGGUGACUAGCUGGACUGUCAGGUAUCUGUAGCUAGAGGCUGGCUCCCCCUUCCAACACCUGUGGGGCAGAGCAGUCCCCAGACAGCUGAGGGAGGCUUGGGUGCCAGCAGUCUCAAGGAAUGCCGCGAGUCUGCCGCGGUGCCCUGGACCAGCCCCCAGGUGUCAGCACCCACCGUGUGAGACAGGUGGCAAGGGCAGGUCGGAGGUCCAGUGGAGCAGUGAAUGCAGACUCCCUGCUUGCCGGCCCGAGCCCCCCCACCGCCCGCGUCACAGCCGUGCCACCGUGCCCCCUGUCCAGCAGGGGGAACCACUUGGAGAAGCCGCGUCUGCUGCUGCAGGACCUCCGGAGGCGGGGUGGGCCGGUGAUAACGGGACGAACUGCGGCUGGCUGUGGGUCAGGCCCUCUGUCAGCGCCGAAAUCCACCGUCUCGUUUAUCAGCACAGUCCAGCGAGGCUGUCCCCAUCACACAGAUGGAGAGACGGAGGCCGGAAGGCCCCCCGACAGGAAGAAGAUACGGGAAGGCUGAGACAGAAGGACCCUCCGCAAGGGCAACAGGAGGCUCGGUGCCAGCUGGUGGGGGUGCAGAGUGCUGCGGACAGGACCCCCCAGCGGCCCUCCGCCCUGCCCCCAGACUCACCGCGGCCACAGACGGUCCCGGUUCCUGCAUUCCUCUUCCCAGCGAGGUCUGGCAUUCUGCUGGUCGACCAUGAAUGAGCCAAACAAAAUAGGGCUUUGCACAGACCAGCAGUGAUGGGGAGCCAAGGAAGGAAGGUAUGCCGGUUGCAGACUCCGCAUGUGAAGAGAAGCAAGCAGGUAAAACCAGCAGUGUGACCCUGCCCAUUGCCACUGUGAUGAGGCUGGGUCACCUCAGAGCCCCCGUGACAAGCCACCUUCUCUGCAGUCCUAUCUCCAUCCACCAGCACCACAGACCAGGAAGCCUGGACUGUGGUUCUGGGCUUCCCUGCUUCCUUCUUAAGCGACAAGGAGCAACACUGUUGCCCGUCGCGGUCCCUGUGGGAACUUGCAGGAGGCCAGAGGCUCCAGUCGGCCAUGUGGGGGUUUCCCUCCUGCUUCAUCAUCUUGGGGUCCUGACAUAGCAGCUCUGUGGGGACCCAGUGGGGGUGAGUUGGUUUCUCCUGGGGCUCCCCUCGGCUGCUGCCUCCUCACCCCUCCCUUGUCCCCAGUUAAAGGGAGUCAGCACAUCAGGUGUGAACCCCAGCUCUGCCCCUUACCUGUUUGUGAGGAGGUGAACCACAGGAGUGCCCCGGUCCCUCCUCAUCGUCGUCUCUACGGCCGGUGCAUGCUCACUGGUUCCCUGAAUCCAUUCUGAUUUCACUUCCAAAAUACACCCUGAGGCUGCUUCCUUCAUCUUCAUCACCCCUUGCUAAAAGCUUCCUUCCCGGCUCCCGGUGACAGCACGAGGGUGUGAGGAAGAGACGAGGAAAGAGAUGGGGGUUAGCUAUCGGCAAGCAAAAUCAACCUAAGACAAGGUGCCCAUUCUCAGACGAGUCUGGGCCUUUUCUCACCACAGUGGCAGGGUUUCGAGAGUGAGCAAGCAGAGCAGAAAUGAGCAAGACCUCGUGGGGCGUAGGCUUGAAGACAGCACCUCUUACUUCCGCCAGGUCUUCUUAGCCAAAGCAAGCUGCAAGGCCAGCCCGUAUCCAAGGGUGGAGGAGGGGGGAGAGGAUGAAAGCAGGAGACUCAGAGGCGUUGCUCAGAGUCGAUAAGAUGCAGCAUCUUGAUCCUUCUGAUAUCACGAUUCCAGCCUCACCAGCCCAACCCCCUUGAAAAUCUGAGCAUUCAGUGAAUCCUGGGUCAGUAAUUCAGGUAAGUCUUUCUCCUGCAACAUCGGUGCUUAGUGCUGCCCAACGCUCUCCAUAACCUCCCCCGACAACUGCAACUCUUGGAUGAGAUGGGUACUCCCUGUGGUGCUGCAGGAACCACAGACUUGUGCUCUCUGGCUGA